GGCAGUGUGGUGCAGUGGUUUGCACAAUGGGCUAGGACUCUAGAGACCUGGGUUCGAGUUCCUGCUCAUCCU